AGAGUUUGAUCCUGGCUCAGGAUGAACGCUGGCGGCGUGCCUAACACAUGCAAGUCGAGCGAAGCGAUUUUGAGGAAGUUUUCGGAUGGAAUCGAAAUUGACUUAGCGGCGGACGGGUGAGUAACACGUGGGUAAUCUGCCUUAUACAGGGGGAUAACAGUUAGAAAUGACUGCUAAUACCGCAUAAGCGCACGGGAACGCAUGUUUCUGUGUGAAAAACUCCGGUAGUAUAAGAUGAGCCCGCGUCUGAUUAGCUGGUUGGUGGGGUAACGGCCUACCAAGGCGACGAUCAGUAGCCGGCCUGAGAGGGUGAACGGCCACAUUGGGACUGAGACACGGCCCAAACUCCUACGGGAGGCAGCAGUGGGGAAUAUUGCACAAUGGGGGAAACCCUGAUGCAGCGACGCCGCGUGAGUGAAGAAGUAUUUCGGUAUGUAAAGCUCUAUCAGCAGGGAAGAAAAAAGACGGUACCUGACUAAGAAGCCCCGGCUAACUACGUG
rnacentral:rRNA from 1 species